UACGGAGGAUCCGAGCGUUAUCCGGAUUUAUUGGGUUUAAAGGGUGCGUAGGCGGCUUUUUUAAGUCAGCGGCGAAAUUUUGCAGCUUAACUGUAACAGUGCCGUUGAUACUGGGGAGCUAGGAUUUGGUUGCUGUGGGUGGAAUGUGUGGUGUAGCGGUGAAAUGCUUAGAGAUCACACAGAAUAUCGAUUGCGAAGGCAGCUCACAAAGCCAAGAUUGACGCUGAGGCACGAAAGUGUGGGGAUCAAACAGGAUUAGAUA
rnacentral:rRNA from 1 species